CUCUACGGAGGCAGCAUGGGGAAUCUUGCACGAAAUGGAGGAAACUCUGAUGCAGCGACGCCGCGUGAGCGAUGAAGCCUUCGGGUGUAAAGCGUACUUUCGACGGGAACGAGUAAUGACGGUACCCGAACGAACGAAGCUGCGGCUAACUACGUGCCAGCCGCCGCGGUAAUAC
rnacentral:rRNA from 1 species